AUCAAGAGUCAUGCACUCUUCCCACUGAGCCAUCCGGGCACCCCCAGGCCGCAUUCAUCAAUCAAUUUGUCUGCCAUAUCCUAUCUCAGAUGAAUAUAAUGAGCUUUAUGUUAUCCUUAUUGAUGCCAGUAAUUUGCAUUAAAUCAAGAAUCAUUUAAAUCUUCUUCCAAUGACUGAUGUGUCAUCAGCCUUUGUCAAGAGCAGCUGCAUCAGGUGAGAACGUGGGUCACUUGAGGAGACACAGAUAAAGUGUCAAGGCUGGGAUGAAAUCCCUGUCCCUUGAUGCUACAUUAAUACAGGACACACAAUUUAGAGGCAUGUUUUAAAUGUAAAAUUAACAAUAAUUUGUUAUAAUGACCACUAAUAUUUAAAUGUUCUCAGCCAUUACUUAAGCUAAGCUAGGAGCUAUCCCUAGAGUUGAUCAGAGUCCCCGAAAAGCUUUUAACGUGGAAAUCACCAUGCUAUGGGAGAAAUAUGUACAACCCUUUGAAGGUUUUCAGGUUCUUGUAGGCACUUCUUUUUGUUGUUGUUUUCUUUUUAAUAAACCACUUUAUUGAUGUAUGACUGACAUACAAAAUGCCGUAUGUAUUUAAUGUAUACAAUUUGAUGAUUUGGGAUAUAAAUGUACACCUAUGAAACCAUCAACACAAUCUAUGGUAUAAUAAACAUAUCCUUCACCUCCAAAA